UACGUAGGGUGCAAGCGUUAAUCGGAAUUACUGGGCGUAAAGCGUGCGCAGGCGGCUUUGCAAGACAGAUGUGAAAUCCCCGGGCUCAACCUGGGAACUGCAUUUGUGACUGCAAGGCUAGAGUACGGUAGAGGGAGAUGGAAUUCCGCGUGUAGCAGUGAAAUGCGUAGAUAUGCGGAGGAACACCAAUGGCGAAGGCAAUCUCCUGGACCUGUACUGACGCUCAUGCACGAAAGCGUGGGGAGCAAACAGG
rnacentral:rRNA from 1 species